UACGGAGGGUGCGAGCGUUGUCCGGAAUCAUUGGGCGUAAAGGGCGCGUAGGUGGCGGGACAAGCGUGCGGGGAAAGCCUGGGGCUCAACCCCGGGUCGGCCGUGCGAACUGUUUUGCUUGAGCACUGUAGAGGCAGGCGGAAUUCCGGGUGUAGCGGUGGAAUGCGUAGAGAUCCGGAAGAACACCGGUGGCGAAGGCGGCCUGCUGGGCAGUAGCUGACACUGAGGCGCGACAGCGUGGGGAGCAAACAGG
rnacentral:rRNA from 1 species